UUUGCAUCCCUUUUUCUAUAGUUCCAAACCAGUUCCUAAUUCGACAGAUGAGAUCUAGUUCGAUCUGCAUCCGUUUUUAUAGUUCCCAACAGUAAAUAUAAAUUCGUCACUUUAGAU